CCUACGGGGGGCAGCAGUGGGGAAUAUUGCACAAUGGGGGAAACCCUGAUGCAGCGACGCCGCGUGGGUGAAGAAGUACUUCGGUACGUAAAGCCCUAUCAGCAGGGAAGAAAAUGACGGUACCUGAUUAAGAAGCCCCGGCUAACUACGUGCCAGCAGCCGCGGUAAUACGUAGGGGGCAAGCGUUAUCCGGAUUUACUGGGUGUAAAGGGAGCGUAGACGGCAUUGCAAGUCCGGAGUGAAAGCCCACGGCCCAACCGUGGGACUGCUCUGGAAACUGUAGAGCUGGAGUGCGGGAGGGGCAG
rnacentral:rRNA from 1 species